rnacentral:rRNA from 1 species
UCCUACGGGAGGCAGCAGUGAGGAAUAUUGGACAAUGGGCGGGAGCCUGAUCCAGCCAUGCCGCGUGCAGGAAGACUGCCCUAUGGGUUGUAAACUGCUUUUGUACAGGAAGAAACACUCCCUCGUGAGGGAGCUUGACGGUACUGUAAGAAUAAGGAUCGGCUAACUCCGUGCCAGCAGCCGCGGU